rnacentral:rRNA from 1 species
AUUGAACGCUGGCGGCAGGCCUAACACAUGCAAGUCGAGCGGAUGAAGGGAGCUUGCUCCUGGAUUCAGCGGCGGACGGGUGAGUAAUGCCUAGGAAUCUGCCUGGUAGUGGGGGAUAACGUCCGGAAACGGGCGCUAAUACCGCAUACGUCCUGAGGGAGAAAGUGGGGGAUCUUCGGACCUCACGCUAUCAGAUGAGCCUAGGUCGGAUUAGCUCGUUGGUGGGGUAAAGGCCUACCAAGGCGACGAUCCGUAACUGGUCAGAGAGGAUGAUCAGUCACACUGGAACUGAGACACGGUCCCGACUCGACGGGAGGCAGCAGUCGGGAAUAUUGGACAAUGGGCGAAAGCCUGAUCCAGCCAUGCCGCGUGUGUGAAGAAGGUCUUCGGAUUGUAAAGCACUUUAAGUUGGGAGGAAGGGCAGUAAGUGAAUAUCUUGCUGUUUUGACGUUACCAACAGAAUAAGCCCCGGCUAGCUUCGUG